CAUGGCUGGCGCCGAUUCCUCAUGCGCGGUUGUGGUUGGGCACCUCGGCGGAGCUGCUGAGCCCCGGGAUUCUGGCGGCAAGAGGAAACAGUAGUCAACCCAGUCCGUGGAAUCGACCGGGAAAGUGAACCCGGAGGCGCCCAGGUCGACCAGAAGGUAAAAAGUAAAAUUAGAGUUCUGAAACUUUCAGACAGAAUGGUUUUGAUUUUUGCAAGCACUGUCACAUACUUGUGCAUGAGCAUAUAUGCCUGGUGCUGUGAUUACUCGUUUCAGCUGGGUAUCCUCGUGAUUUUUCUGGUCAUACUAAUGCGAAUUGGUGUUUCAUAUAUACGACUAGCCAAGAAGUUUUUAGAUGGAUCAUGUCAUAGAUGGACUAGCCAAGAUUGUUUUUAGAUGGAGUGACGAGUGGCACCUGCAGUUCUAAAGGAAAUGUUAGGAGCUUAUGCCCGUCAUUGGCUUGUCUCCCCUGGGCUGUGCAUCCAGCUCCAGCGGGUUCAGCACGACUGAGGCAGCAGUGGGAAGGAAGAUUAUUCGGUAGGAUGGCGCUGACAACAUAUCGGAGAUGCGCCAAGCCUUGCUGCGACCUAGCUUUCUUGUGCUUGCUCUCCUUCCCCAACAACAGACCAUCAUGGCCCUCCCUUUUGUUGUUCAUCAAUGGGGGUCAUGUUCACAUCAGAACCUUCAUCAGCACAAUCUUCAUGAAUUUUCCAUAUUUGUCAUAUCUCUCUGAUUGUCCAAUGCAGAUCAUGUUGUUAAAAAGUGAAACUUCUGGGUUGA